GGAUGGUCGAUAUGACAUGUAUGCAUUAAACAAUUGAUUCUACAGAAAGCUAAACACAAGGAUUCAUUAGUGUCUAAAAUGAAGCUAGAUUAUAAAAGUCCUAGUUACUACUUUGAAUGAUGCUAUGCCAGAAUAACCUUCUUCAGUUUAAUCACACUGAUUCUAACAUUGACUCAUGACUAGGUGCAAUGACCUUAUUCACAUCAUUACAAAUAAGAGACAGUCAGGCAACAUCUAAAAUUCAAUUACAAAAUACCCUGUGAUUCCCAACUUGAUUUCAAAUGACUAACGUCCAAUGAAAACGAAAUCGAACUGACUAGGAUAUUAAACUAUUUGAUACUACAACUACUAAUGAAUGAACAAAAUCGAAUAGUUUCAACCAGCCCACAUUAUACAAACCAUAACAAGUCCUAGUUUAAUUACGACAUCCAAAACAUAACAGAAUUAUUUGAACUGCAGUUCCACUUCAGAACAAAAACCUCAAUUUCAUUUCAUUUGUCAAUAGAUGAAGCUACAACAACACAAUCUCAAAAUGUGUACCUGGAAUUGGAAGAGAAAUGAAAUAGAAGAAGUCAGUUGAAGCAAUAACUGAGCAGCAACAGCAGUAAGCAAUUUCCAGCAAAAAAAAUCAAACCAGUGUUAAGAUUGAAAAAAAAAUCACAACUAACCAACAAUUUAGGAGAAUUAUUCAUUGACUAAAUCAUAAGAAGAAGCAGGGAACACAUGAAGAUAUAAAAAAAAUGAGGACUCACAGCUUGACUCGAAUUCUUUGGUUCAAAAUUUGACCAUCUUGGGCAUGAAUUGAACAUCAAUGACAGCGAAUUCUUCAUGAAGGGAAUGAGGAGACCGUGUAGUACCAAUUGGGUAGUUUUUAGAGACAUUAGAAUUUCCGGCCAACUUUGAACUAAUAUUCGAGCCAUUCGACUGAUAUUUGAGGGAAACCAGUGGGAGAUUCUAGUAGAGGAGAACUAGGAGAGCACAGGGUGUUAAUUUGGGGUGGUUUGGACGGAGGUGUGUUGUGGCCGGAGUUUUUCGAUCCAAGAUUUGAAGGCUUUGGCUGGGAUUCGAGAAAAACUAAUAUGGGGUUUGGAAAGAGGAGGAGAAGACGAGUUGAGGGUGUAUUUUUGGGAGGGAUUGGAGCUUCGCCGCCGCCGGCGACGAUUUCCGGCGGACGGCGGACGGCGGAGGCACGGCGGCAUUACAGAGGGAGUGUACGAGGAAGACGAAAAUGUUUUUU
rnacentral:lncRNA from 1 species